rnacentral:lncRNA from 1 species
UAGUUUUAAUCAUAUUUGAUUUUCUUUGAUAUUUUUCAUAGGACAAUUAAAAAAAAAAAUCAUUUUUCUUUGCAUUUUUUUUCUUUCUUUAGUAUUUUCCGGAACGAAACAUAACCUAUAGAACUUUUGGUUUGUAUCUAUAUCUCCGUGCCUUUCUCUCAUUCAACAAACACAAUCCGCGUAACGUCUCAAUUCAUCUGAAUUUUUUCUCGUCAACCCACG